GUAGGUGGCAAGCGUUGUCCGGAAUUAUUGGGCGUAAAUCGCGCGCAGGCGGUUUUUUAAGUCUGAUGUGAAAGCCCACGGCUCAACCGUGGAGGGUCAUUGGAAACUGGAGAACUUGAGUACAGAAGAGGAAAGCGGAAUUCCACGUGUAGCGGUGAAAUGCGUAGAGAUGUGGAGGAACACCAGUGGCGAAGGCGGCUUUCUGGUCUGUAACUGACGCUGAGGCGCGAAAGCGUGGGGAGCAAACAGGGAUUAGAUACCCUGGUAGUCCACGCCGUAAACGAUGAGUGCUAAGUGUUAGGGGGUUUCCCGCCCCUUAGUGCUGCAGCUAACGCAUUAAGCACUCCGCCUGGGGAGUACGGCCGCAAGGCUA
rnacentral:rRNA from 1 species